rnacentral:rRNA from 1 species
UACGUAGGGAGCAAGCGUUGUCCGGAAUCAUUGGGCGUAAAGCGCGCGUAGGUGGCUUCAUAAGUCCGUUGUGAAAGUCAAAGGCUCAACCUUUGAAAGCCGAUGGAUACUGUGAAGCUAGAGUACGGAAGAGGCGAGUGGAAUUCCUGGUGUAGCGGUGAAAUGCGCAGAUAUCAGGAGGAACACCGGUGGCGAAGGCAGUUCUCUGGGCCGUAACUGACGCUGAGGAGCGAAAGCGUGGGGAGCGAACAGG